rnacentral:lncRNA from 1 species
UUGUGCCAUUUAUGUUUGCCACACGGUCAUGUCGCGCACUAUCAAUUUUGGUGUAUAUCAAGCUAGCGAAACGGCCGCCAGCGCACCAUGAGCGUG